rnacentral:misc_RNA from 1 species
GUUGAGGAAACACAUAUUGUGGCAGCUGCUCGGUUAAGAAGCUUAUAUUUAUCUCAUCUGCCAAAACUGAGACAUGUUUGGAGUAAGGAUCCUGGGGGAGUUCUUACAUAUACAAGUCUACACACGGUAAGUGUUUCCAUUUGCCCAAGCCUGAAAAGUCUUUUUCCUGCCUCUGUUGCCAAAGAUCUUCUUCAACUCAAGCAGCUGGAGAUAGACUCGUGCGCUGUAAAGGAAAUUGUUGCUAAGGAAGAAGCAGUGGAAAUGUCAUGCAUGGUGGAUGAAUUGGUUGCUGAGGAAGAAGGACUAGAAAUAGCAGCUAGGUUCGUGUUUCCUCAUGUAACCU